AACGAACGCUGGCGGCAUGCCUAACACAUGCAAGUCGAACGAAGCCUUCGGGCUUAGUGGCGCACGGGUGCGUAACACGUGGGAAUCUGCCCUUCGGUUCGGAAUAACAGUUAGAAAUGACUGCUAAUACCGGAUGAUGACGUAAGUCCAAAGAUUUAUCGCCGAAGGAUGAGCCCGCGUAGGAUUAGGUAGUUGGUAGGGUAAUGGCCUACCAAGCCGACGAUCCUUAGCUGGUCUGAGAGGAUGAUCAGCCACACUGGGACUGAGACACGGCCCAGACUCCUACGGGAGGCAGCAGUGGGGAAUUUUGGACAAUGGGCGCAAGCCUGAUCCAGCAAUGCCGCGUGCAGGAUGAAGGCCUUCGGGUUGUAAACUGCUUUUGUACGGACGAAAGGACUCUGGUUAAUACCUGGGGCGUCAUGACGGUACCGUAAGAAUAAGCACCGGCUAACUACGUG
rnacentral:rRNA from 1 species